UUUUUUGGGCUCCCUCCUUCAGGAGGAGGUGGAGGGGCGGUUCUGGUCGGAAGUCCCGUAGUUUCUGUAUGCUAAUGGGGGGAGUUGGGGGUUGUAGCUACAUAUUUACGUUCAGCGGGAGCCGCCCUUCAUUCACCCACAUGGUUACCAACCGCUCGCAUUCGCGCCACUUUCCUCCACCCCGCAAUCAUCUCCGAGAAGCCUCUCCCCUCCUCGAGGUUCCGACCCAGAGCUGGGCUCGGUUUCGGCGCGGCGGUGUAAAAGUUUACCCGUUAUUUUUGUCUCUUUUGUUGUUGUUUUUUUUUUCUGGGCUCGGCGAGCUUUGAGCAAGCGGAGCGAAGAUGGAGGAUCUCGGCUGGGUGAGCGCAUGUUUAUCGGCGCGUCUAAGACGCCCAUGUGUGGUUGUGAGGAUGGUGGUCGCAGCGCGGAUAUGCCCGUGUUUUUAUCGGGGCUAAUGGCAGCUAGCAGGGGGGUCCACCAUGAGGUUCUGGGACAACAACCAUGAAGAUCUUCCAUGUGGUGCUGUGGAUCCUCAGUCUAUGUAUUGUCAAAGUGCUUACAGUGCAGGUAGUGCUACGUGAUACCUACUGCAGUGGAGGCACUUUCAGCAAUACCCUGACACUCUUUUAUUUUUCUUCGAUCUUUGUUACCUGUGAUUUCUGUUUGACGUACUGUCUUUGUGCUAAGGUGCAUCUAGUGCAGAUAGUGAAAUAGACUAGCACCUACUGCCCUAAGUGCUCCUUCUGGCAUAAGGGGCUGUGAUAUGCACCGCCAGGGCCUCACUUUUUUGUUUURAAAUUCCUAAUUGGACUCAAACAUCUUGCAGUUCUCUGCUAGUUUUGCAUAGUUGCACUACAAGAAUACAUGAGUUGUGCAAAUCUAUGCAAAACUGAUGGUGGCCUGCUUGCUCUACACCUGUUCAGAUUUAUUUGUUUGUUUGUUUUUUAAGUUGUUACUGUAAACAUUUAUUACAUGAUGUAAUUAAAAAAAGGGUGACUUGUUUCUGGUUGCGGUCCAGGUGACUUCAGUUCCAGCGGUACUAAAGUGCUUAUAGUGCAGGUAGUGGUCUGAUUCUCAUCUACUGCAAUGUGAGCACUUGAAGUAUUUCUAACUGUAUCCUCCCUGCGGCCCGAGGCGAGUGGUCGGCGACGAAAUCUGUUGCUCGGUCAGUUUUGCUGGUUUGCAUCCAGCUUUUACAGAUGUGCGCUGUGCAAAUCCAUGCAAAACUGAGCGGGCCGGCGGGCUGUGCUGCGACGUGGAGCUUACUUUUUGGUGUGUGUUUUUUGUGUGGCCUCGGAUGUCCUGUCCUGUGCAGGUGGGGAUUAGUAGCAAUGCUGUGCUCCUGGAGGUAUUGCACUUGUCCCGGCCUGUAAAGGAACAGGGAGCUGACCUCUGAUCUGUCGUUCGAUUGCAGUAAAUUUGUGGUUUUUUUGUCUUGUUAAAAGUGUCUUUUUUUAGGUACCAAAUUGUGAUUAUUGUGUUCGGUUUGAAUAAAAAUUAAAUUAAAAUGUAAAAAGCAAUUUUCCUUUAUUUGUUUUCUGUAGUUUUAAAAUAAAAAGCCUUGUUUUGAAGGUAAUCUUA